UCAAGCGAACAAGGGCGCAGGGCGAAUGCCUUGGCACUGGGAGCCGAUGAAAGACGUGAUAAGCUGCGAUAAGCUUCGGGGAGCUGCAAAUAAGCAUUGAUCCGGAGAUUUCUGAAUGAGGAAACUCACCUGGGUUCAUACUCAGGUACGUUGUACUGAAAUUCAAAAUAGGUACAUCGGGGGAACCGCCUGAACUGAAACAUCUAAGUAGGGCGAGGAAGAGACAUCAAACGAGAUUCCGUAAGUAGUGGCGAGCGAACGCGGAAGAGGGCAAACCGGGAGUAGAAAUACUUCCGGGGUACGGACUGCUUUUAGGACUUAAUCUGUUAACCGAACGGCAUGGGAAGGCCGGUCAGAGAGUGUGAGAACCACGUAGGUGAAAACGGAAAGAGCUGCGCAGAUUCCAGAGUACGGCCAGACACGUGAAACCUGGUCGGAAGAUGGGGGGACCACCCUCCAACCCUAAAUACUACCCAGUGACCGAUAGCGUAUAGUACUGUGAAGGAAAGGUGAAAAGCACCCCGGGAGGGGAGUGAAAAAGAACCUGAAACCCUGUGCCUACAAGCACCUAGAGCGCGUCAAUGCGUGAUAGGGUACUUUUUGUAGAACGGUCCGGCGAGCGAUUGUAUGCAGCAAGGUUAAGGACUUAAGGUCUGGAGCCGAAGCGAAAGCGAGUUUGAAAAGGGCGUUAAGUUGCAUAUAAUGGGCCCGAAACCGGGUGACCUACCCAUGGUCAGGUUGAAGUGGAAGUAAAAUUCCAUGGAGGACCGAACCGACCUCCGUUGAAAAGGCGGCGGAUGAACUGUGGGUAGCGGAGAAAUUCCAAUCGAACCCGGAGAUAGCUGGUUCUCCCCGAAAUAGUUUUAGGACUAGCCUCAAGUUAGAUACCUGGAGGUAAAGCACUGAAUAGCCUAGCGGCCGAGAGGUUAGCGAAGCUUAUCAAACUCAGAAUGCCAGAGUAUUGAUGCUUGGGAGUCAGACAGUGUCAGAUAAAUGUCAUUGUCAAAAGGGAAACAGCCCAGAUCUACAGCUAAGGUCCCAAAGUCAGGUUAAGUGGAAAACGAUGUGAAGAUACGCAGACAACCAGGAUGUUGGCUCAGAAGCAGCCACUCAUUCAAAGAGUGCGUAAUAGCUCACUGGUCGAGCGUCUUUGCGCGGAGAAUUUAACGGGGCUAAACCUGACACCGAAGCUUAGGCAAUCCAGCAAUGGAUUGGGUAGGGGAGCGUUGUAUACGCGGAGAAACAGUAGCGUAAGCGGCUGUGGAGUGUAUAGAAGUGAGAAUGCCGGAAUGAGUAGCGCGAAUGCAGUGAGAAUCUGCAUGGCCGAAAGCCUCAGGUUUUUGGAGGAAGGUUCGUCCGCUCCAAGUUAGUCGGGAGCUAAGGUGAGGCCGGAAGGCGUAGCCGAUGCACAGACGGUAGAGAUUCCGUCACCACCAAAAGAGUUAAGCACAGGGACACAUUUGAAGUCUCAGAGCCGGGUGUUGGUUCCGGUAGAGAUCGAGGGAAGUUAGUACCGAAGUCUGGGAUGGAAGAUGGCGAGAAAAGCUGUGUGUAUUUCUGAGGUGCCCGUACCGCAAACCGACACAGGUAGGUAGGAAGAAGAUUCUAAGGCCAACGGGAGAAGGGUUGUUAAGGAACUCGGCAAAUUGACCCCGUAACUUCGGGAGAAGGGGUGCUCCAGAGAUGGAGCCGCAGAGAAUCGGCCCAAGCAACUGUUUACCAAAAACACAGGUUUGUGCUAAAUCGAAAGAUGACGUAUACGAGCUGACGCCUGCCCGGUGCUGGAAGGUUAAGAGGAGAUGUGCAAGCAUUGAAUCGAAGCCCCAGUGAACGGCGGCCGUAACUAUAACGGUCCUAAGGUAGCGAAAUUCCUUGUCAGGUAAGUUCUGACCCGCAUGAAAGGCGUAAUGAUUUGGGCACUGUCUC
rnacentral:rRNA from 1 species